AUUGAACGCUGGCGGCAGGCCUAACACAUGCAAGUCGAGCGGAGCGGCGGACGGGUGAGUAAUGCCUAGGAAUCUGCCUGGGAGUGGGGGAUAACGUCCGGAAACGGGCGCUAAUACCGCAUACUCUAAGAUGAGCCUAGGUCGGAUUAGCUAGUUGGUGGGGUAAAGGCCUACCAAGGCGACGAUCCGUAACUGGUCUGAGAGGAUGAUCAGUCACACUGGAAAUGAGACACGGUCCAGACUCCUACGGGAGGCAGCAGUAGGGAAGAUUGGACAAUGGGAGAAAGCCGGACCCAGCCAGGCCGCGUGGGUGAAGAAGGUCUUCGGAUUGUAAAGCACUGUAAGGUGGGAGGCGGUACCAACAGAAUAAGCACCGGCUAACUUCGUGCCAGCAGCCGCGGUAAUUC
rnacentral:rRNA from 1 species